rnacentral:rRNA from 1 species
GACGAACGCUGGCGGCGUGCCUAAUACAUGCAAGUCGAACGCUUCUUUCCUCCCGAGUGCUUGCACUCAAUUGGAAAGAGGAGUGGCGGACGGGUGAGUAACACGUGGGUAACCUACCCAUCAGAGGGGGAUAACACUUGGAAACAGGUGCUAAUACCGCAUAACAGUUUAUGCCGCAUUGCAUAAGAGUGAAAGGCUCUUUCGGGUGUCGCUGAUGUAUGGUCCCGCGGUGCAUUAGCUAGUUGGUGAGGUAACGGCUCACCAAGGCCACGAUGCAUAGCCGACCGGAGAGGGUGAUCGGCCACACUGGGACUGAGACACGGCCCAGACUCCUACGGGAGGCAGCAGUAGGGAAUCUUCGGCAAUGGACGAAAGUAUGACCGAGCAACGCCGCGUGAGUGAAGAAGGUUUUCGGAUCGUAAAACUCUGUUGUUAGAGAAGAACAAGGACGUUAGUAACUGAACGUCCCCUGACGGUAUCUAACCAGAAAGCCACGGCUAACUACGUG